rnacentral:rRNA from 1 species
GAUGAACGCUAGCGGCAGGCUUAAUACAUGCAAGUCGAGGGGCAGCAGGUCCCGCAGCAAUGCGGGAUGCUGGCGACCGGCAAACGGGUGCGGAACACGUACAGAACCUUCCUUCGAGCGGGGAAUAGCCCAGAGAAAUUUGGAUUAAUACCCCAUAGUAUAACGGAGUGGCAUCACUUUGUUAUUAAAGAUUUAUCACUUGAAGAUGGCUGUGCGGCUGAUUAGGUAGUUGGCGGGGUAACGGCCCACCAAGCCUACGAUCAGUAACUGGUGUGAGAGCACGACCAGUCACACGGGCACUGAGACACGGGCCCGACUCCUACGGGAGGCAGCAGUAAGGAAUAUUGGUCAAUGGACGAAAGUCUGAACCAGCCAUGCCGCGUGGAGGAUGAAGGUCCUCUGGAUUGUAAACUUCUUUUAUAUGGGACGAAAAAAGGGUUUUCUAACUCGUCUGACGGUACCAUAUGAAUAAGCACCGGCUAACUCCGUGCCAGCCGCCGCGGUAAUAC